GAUUAGGCUUUCUUUAUGUCAAUAAAAGAUACUUUUAACAGUGAAGCUAAUGCGCGACGCAUUGCCAUGGUGGAGAGCUGCUUCGGCAGUUCGGGACAGCCACUGGCAGUACCAGGGAGAGUCCUAGUAGGAGAAGGAGUCCUUACAAAGAUGUGUCGCAAAAAACCGAAAGCUCGACAGUUUUUCCUGUUUAAUGACAUACUUGUUUAUGGCAACAUCGUCAUUAACAAGAAAAAGUAUAAUAAGCAGCACAUCAUACCGCUUGAAGAAGUGAAACUGGAAUCACUUGAAGAUGAUGGUCAAUUCAGAAAUGGGUGGCUAAUUCGCACAGCAUCUAAAUCUUUUGCGGUGUACGCUGCAACAUCGACAGAGAAACAGGAAUGGAUGGCACAUAUCAACAAGUGUAUUGAAGAUUUGCUGCGGAAAAGUGGUAAAAAGGCAGUAGAAGUUCAUGCUGCUGUCUGGGUACCUGAUUCUGAGGCUGCUGUCUGCAUGCACUGUAAAAAAACUCAGUUUACUGUGCUGAAUCGACGGCACCAUUGUCGAAAGUGCGGGGCAGUUGUGUGUGGUCCUUGUUCUAACAAAAGAUUUCUUUUGCCAAACCAGUCAUCAAAACCUCUUAGAGUGUGCUUGAAUUGUUACGACACAUUAUCACGUGCAAAAACUAGACCGCCAAACAGUACAGUUUCAUCACCUGACGGUUCAUUCACAAAAGACUUAAAGGAAAGAAAUGGAUCUGGAGAAUCAUCAGGAGAAGAAGACUCAGAUGAAGAUGAGGAACCUAAUCGUUCACAGCAAGAAUCUACUCAUGAUGAGUCUGCCUAAGAGCAUGGAAGCUCGUCAGCAGUUUUGUCAGUAUUGCCAUUGGAAGAUGACUAACAGUGUCUGCCUGUUGUGGCAGACACUUGAUGUUUAACUUAGGAUUGAGUUCAGGACAGUGUUCAUGGAGAUGCCAAAAUUCUAUGGGGUGUCUGAAGGAGCAGAAGAAAACAAGCAAGACAAAUGAACAGCUUGAAAGUGAUCACUUAUUGUUAAGUUUGAUUAUGGCCCAGUGUGCUGGUAAUAUUGUAUCAAAGCAGCUCAUAAUUUCACUUUCACUGUGAGGGAAUAUGUAAGAUAGCACUGGAAGAAGAAAGUUUUCUGGAGCUAUGUGACAGCUUAAUCAUGUGGCACCUACUUUAUAAAGUUGUCAGCACAUAUGUUGCUGUUAUUUGCUUCUUUUUUAGUGGAGUCUCAGUACUGCAAAACUUCAUAGUGUGUAGCUAACUUCAGAAGUGUACUAAGCAUGUAAUUUCUAUUGAGCAUUUUUUGCUCUCUUGCCUAUCACAGUACUUUUUCUUUUUUUCUCCUGUCUCACUUAAAUGAGACAUUUGUUGAUAUUAGAACUGUAUAUUUUUAAACAGCUCUGUAUAUAUAUAUAUAUAUAGAUAUAUUGUUGUUUUUGUAUUUCACUUAUACCUUUGUAUUAUUUUGUAAGUGUUAUGGAGUUUGUUACUCUUAAGAUGAUGAAUCUGAAUGCCGUAACUGAUGCCAAUUGAAUUUGUCAGACGAGAUAACAACAUUAUUUUCAUACACGUAUAUUUGCAGUUGCCUUGUAUUAGGCAGUAAAUAUUUGAAAACUAUGUAAACAAUAUUUAAUUGUUGAUGAUGUCACCAGGGAAAUACAGUUAUCUUAAUACCCAGUAAAAAACAUUCUUUUUAUGUUUGAGGCAAAGAUUAGAAUACUUUGAUCACAGAUGUCAAGCAGUUUUCUGUUUAUGUAACCAAAAAACUAUUUUAUGGGGAAAUUAUAUAGUAUAAGACUGAAAACAGAGUAAUUUAUCUAAUGAUAACGUAAUUUAUGGGCAUAAAAGGUCUUACUGUGUAAAAUGCACGUCUUUUUCACACACAGAUAUUUUUCUUUUUCCUUCCCUAGACAAAAUUGGCUCUUUGUAAAAAGCUCUGGGUAGGGUUAAAAUAACUCAUUUGCUUUGUAAUACUAGCUCUGAUUUAUCAUUAUGUAUUUGCUUCUCAUUUAUUUACAGUGUGAAGCUGGAAACCAUAAUCAUACAGCCAAAAAUUAUUUGAAAACCCCUUUGUAUUUAAUUCUUGAAAGAACUUGUAAAAAUAGUGUUGUACAGCUGGUUUUCGUAAUUGUUGAAAUAAAUCUGGUUAUUUUAAUGACUAAGUAAUGUAAUGACAGCCUUUGUAUUCAGUACCCAAUUUGGGUUUCUGUAGUGCAACUUGCUUCAGUCCAUGUAAAUUAAAUUUGCCAGAGUAUGGGUGUACAUGCUUAUUUAAUGAUUGUGGUUAUAAUAAUGCAGAAAUCUCUUACCAGAGCUGUGGAGUAAUAGACUGAAUUACCUGUUAAGCUCAGGGAACAAAUUUGUUGGUUCUAUCACGUAGAUAUUGCAGCCAUUUUAAACUAAGAUAAUUUUAUUGAAGAAAGGGGCUGCUUAUAAUACCAUCAUAUUGAAGUAGGUAAUAAGUUCCUGCUUUGUCACAUUGAUAGCCAUUGUUUGGAAUUACUGUGUUCCAAAUGUUCAGAAUUCCCUUUUGUAAUGUGCAUGAAGUUCAGAUGACGACAGUUGUAUAAGACAAUGUGAUAAGAUUUUGCUACAACUUCAUUACUAGGUGCUGAAUGGAAAAAAUAUUGAGAGUGCCUUUUUUAUUAUUGGUGGUAUAUUUGUCAUACAUACUUUUUACUCCACUGUCAUGUAGAUACUGCUGUAUUUAUAAGAAGAAACACAAAAUUCAAUGAUUUUAUUUAUGUAUAAUUGAGCUGAGAUGAUUUUACUUUUCUUUAUAAGUAUACAGUAGUCUUCCAGUUGCAAAAAAUUACUGUUAAUGUAAAUUACUUCACUCCUUUUGUUGGAGAGAAAUGUCUUUCACUUUGAUUUUAUAUAAAUUUGUUAUCAGUGGAGAAGAGGAUACUGCAAUGAAAUGUAUGGCCUGUAAAAUUGCUUUGUGAGUGCUGGCUGAUAAAUGAAACCAAUUGUA